CUUUACCCAUCAUCAGAGACCUUACCCCAAAACCCUAACACCGCCCUACUUUCCACAGUCUCCAACCGGCGACGCCGCUCCCAAUCGACCCCAAAUCAACACCACAAAACCACCAUGACUCCCUCAUACCAAAUCCAUCACUGGUUUCCCUCGAAUCUGUCCAGAACUUCUCGAAUCGUAAAUCAGAGUUCGAGCCCUAAAAGUCUAAAAUCAUUUUUCAUUGAACCCAGUGGCAUGCAUGAUCAUAGGCUGUUGUUCCUUUCGAGUUUUGAAGUUUUGAUUCAACGAAAACUGAUGUUGUUCAUUUGUUCUUGACAAAGAACAAAUGAUUGACAUUAGUUUCCUUAAGUCAAUGUCUCUGGUGGGUUUUGAUUUUUGGUCUGGUACUCUCCUGUAUUCUACCCCCAUGUGAAGCUUGAAUUGAAGAGUGAAAUAAAAAAACAGAGCUCAAAAAAAUUUUCUAGUCUCUUUUUAUGAGUUCAGUUCUAUAUUUUGGUUGUCUGGUGGUUUAUAGUUUAGUCCAUUGCUUUCUUAGUUAAUCUCUGCUUUGGCUGUUGAAACUUGUUUCUUUUUAUUGUAUUAAUUUGGGACUAAUGAGAUGUUGUAGAUAAAAAAUGCAGUCAAGAGGCAUGUUGGUUUAAGUUUUCUUUGAUUUUUAGUUAGACAUUUCAAUGUUAUAUUGUUUGGUAGCAGUUCUCGUGAUAAAACUAGCUGCAAGGAGACUAAGGAUAAAAUGAUGAGGUGUAGUAUGCUAUUUGAAUGGGUAAUAUGAGGUGCUAUUUUGAUGUGAA